GGGAAAGUGGAUCAACAUCACCGAAGGAGGACAGCGAGCAAGAUUAGGGCUGGCUAAUGAUAAAUGAGAAGGCGCCGCUGACAGCUCCUCUCUCCGCGGCUGCCGCCCGGCAGCUCCGCGCUGCGCGCUCCGUGCGCACCUCCGCCCGCACCCGCGGCCGCCGCUUCGCUCCCCUCCGCCCAUCUCUUCUCAGUUUUAAUCUCUUUUUAUUAUUAUUAUUAUCAUUAUCAUCGUUAUUAUUGUUAUUAUCAUAUAUAUUUUUUAUUAUUAUUUUUUCUUAAUUUUUCACCUCCGCGUAGCGCGCAGAGCGCUUGGGGGGGGGGGCUCCAUUUUAACCCCCCCCACCUUCGCCCCAAAACCGCUUUCCUCGGGAUUACGCCGCAUCGAGGGACCGGAGCAGGGGGAUUUGACUGCAGCAGCAGCGCAGCAGCACAGCAGCACAGGCGGACGGGGGAAGGCUCCUCGCGCUCCUCCAGACCCCUUUUAGAGCAGCAGCAGCAGCAGCAGCGCAGCGCAGCGCAGCGGGGCUCAGGCUGCAGGUAACGCACAGCCCCCCCAACCCCCCCACCCGCUGCCUCCGUGCGGAUCGUACCCGGGAUGCGGCGGUGGGGAGGGCAGGGAGAGAAGGCGGAGGGGGGGAAAUAGAGGGGGGGGCUGGGGGUUUAUUUGGAUUUCCCCCUCCCUGCCCAUGGGCAGAACAAAGGCUGUGCUGCGCGGGGGCGGCGGGCAGCGCGGCCCCUCUCUCCUUUUUUUUCCAUCCCUCCCCCGUUUUGUUUUUUGGUUUUUGGCUUUUUUUGUUUGUUUGUUUGUUUUUAGUUAUUCUUAUUUUUCCUUUCUGCUUUGAUCUUUUUUUUUUUCCUCCACCGCCUCUCUCUCUCUCUCUCUCCAAAAGACAUAUUUUGCUUUCUUCUUAUUAUUUUCCUUUUUAUUUUCGUUUCAUCUUUUCCUUGAGGAAAGGCCCCUCUCUCCGUGUUCACAGCGGACCUUGAUUUAAAUGUCCAUACAAUUAAGGCACGCGGUGAAUGCCAAGAACGAGGCUGACCAGCAUCGAGCCGAGGCCCGGAGGCCGUUCCGCGGCUUUUCCGCACCCCCCUGCGCGGCCCCGAACCCCGGCGGCGGGGCGCGCAACUUUGCGCCGCGCUGCGCACCCGCGCAGGUGGCACCCGCAGC
rnacentral:lncRNA from 1 species